GGAAGGGGUGUAUUUAUUAGAUAAAAAACCAAUGCCCUCUGGGCUUCUUGGUGAUUCAUAAUAACUUUACGAAUCGCAUGGCCUUGCGCCGGCGAUGGUUCAUUCAAAUUUCUGCCCUAUCAACUUUCGAUGGUAGGAUAGUGGCCUACCAUGGUUUCCACGGGUAACGGGGAAUUAGGGUUCUAUUCCGGAGAGGGAGCCUGAGAAACGGCUACCACAUCCAAGGAAGGCAGCAGGCGCGCAAAUUACCCAAUCCCGACACGGGGAGGUAGUGACAAUAAAUACUGAUGCAGGGCUCUUUUGGGUCUUGCAAUUGGAAUGAGUACAGUCUAAAUCCCUUAACGAGGAACAAUUGGAGGGCAAGUCUGGUGCCAGCAGCCGCGGUAAUUCCAGCUCCAAUAGCGUAUAUUAAAGUUGUUGCAGUUAAAAAGCUCGUAGUUGAACCUUGGGCCUGGCUGGUCGGUCCGCCUCACCGCGUGUACUGAUCCGGCCGGGCCUUUCCUCCUGGGGAAUCGCAUGCCCUUCACUGGGUGUGUCGGGGAACCAGGACUUUUAC
rnacentral:rRNA from 1 species